GAUCAGCAAGCAUACUUCUCUAGCUGGCUUGGAGGGAUGAUGGCCCCACUGUGUCUGAGGCUCGUUUCAGCGUCGAACGGGAGGCAGCAUGCGGAUAUGAGCUAUGGGCGCAUCCUCAUCCAGCACUGCAGUGUGAGUGAUGCAGCCGUCUGGUUGUUAAUCUUUUUUGCAGGGAUGAUAUGCCGUUACUGGUAGAUAAGGUCAGCUAACGCCGUACCAUCCCCCGCGGUAUUCGGAGAGAACCAGCGUUAUUCGGAAGAGGGGGGGGGCAAGCGCACGUGGUUGUGUUAUAUUUUGAGGUGAUAUCCUACACCUCAACUCUAGAAUGCCUUUAAGACCGCAUAGAUGAUUACAGGAGAGGAGAGUGGAAUCCGAGUGUAGAGGUGAAAUUCGUAGAUAUUCGGAAGAACAUCAGUGGCGAAGGCGGCUCCUUUUACAGGUAUUGACGCUGAGGUGGGAAAGCGUGGGGAGCAAACAGGAUUAGAUACCCUCGUAGUUCAUACCGUAAACGAUGAUAACUAGCCGUCGCGGCUCUUAGAGCUUCGGUGGCGCAUCUAAAGCAUUAAGUUAUCCUCCUGGGGAGUACGGCCGCAAGGUUAAAACUCAAAGGAAUUGAUGGGGGCCUGCACAAGCGGUGGAGCAUGUGGUUUAAUUCGAAGCAACGCGCAGAACCUUACCAGCGUUUGACACGUCCGGACGAUUUCCAGAGAUGGAUCUCUUCCUUUCGGGGAAUGGAACACAGGUGCUGCAUGGCUGUCGUCAGCUCGUGUCGUGAGAUGUUGGGUUAAGUCCCGCAACGAGCGCAACCCUCGUCCUUAGUUGCCAUCAUUUAGUUGGGCACUUUAAGGAAACCGCCGGUGAUAAGCCGGAGGAAGGUGGGGAUGACGUCAAGUCCUCAUGGCCCUUACGCGGUGGGCUACACACGUGCUACAAUGGCGGUGACAGUGGGCAGCAAUCUCGCAAGGGUGAGAUAAUCUCCAAAAGCCGUCUCAGUUCGGAUUGUUCUCUGCAACUCGAGAGCAUGAAGGCGGAAUCGCUAGUAAUCGCGGAUCAGCAUGCCGCGGUGAAUACGUUCCCAGGCCUUGUACACACCGCCCGUCACCCCAUGGGAGUUGGAUUCACCCGAAGGCAGUGCGCUAACCGCAAGGAGGCAGCUGCCCACGGUGGUUUAAGGGGGGGG
rnacentral:rRNA from 1 species